rnacentral:rRNA from 1 species
AGGGUUUGAUCCUGGCUCAGGAUGAACGCUGGCGAGAUGCCUUAUACAUGCAAGUCGUACGAGAGUUUUUAACUCAAGUGGCGGACGGGUGAGUAACACGUAAGAAUUUGCCUUUAGGAGGGGGACAACAAUUGGAAACGAUUGCUAAUACCCCAUAUGCUUUCGAGUGAAAUGGAUUUUUCCGCCUAGAGAGAAGCUUGCGGCUGAUUAGCUUGUUGGUGAGGUAAUGGCUCACCAAGGCGACGAUCAGUAUCUGGUUUGAGAGGACGAUCAGACACACUGGAACUGAGACACAGUCCAGACUCCUACGGGAGGCAGCAGUAGGGGAUUUUCCGCAAUGGGCGAAAGCCUGACGGAGCAAUCUCGCGUGAGGGAUGACGGCCUAUGGGUUGUAAACCUCUUUUUUCAGGGAGGAAUAACUGACGUGUACCUGAAGAAUAAGCAUCGGCUAACUCCGUGCCAGCAGCCGCGGUAAGACGGAGGAUGCAAGUGUUAUCCGGAAUCACUGGGCGUAAAGCGUCUGUAGGUGGUUUAAUAAGUCAACUGUUAAAUCUUGAAGCUCAACUUCAAAAUCGCAGUCGAAACUAUUAGACUAGAGUAUAGUAGGGGUAAAGGGAAUUUCCAGUGGAGCGGUGAAAUGCGUAGAGAUUGGAAAGAACACCGAUGGCGAAGGCACUUUACUGGGCUAUUACUAACACUCAGAGACGAUAGCUAGGGUAGCAAAUGGGAUUAGAUACCCCAGUAGUCCUAGCCGUAAACAAUGGAUACUAGAUGUUGAACAGAUCGACCUGUGCAGUAUCAAAGCUAACGCGUUAAGUAUCCCGCCUGUGAAGUAUGCUCGCAAGAGUGAAACUCAAAGGAAUUGACGGGGUCCCGCACAAGCGGUGAAGCAUGUGU